rnacentral:lncRNA from 1 species
GUCUUGGUCAUGGUCAUGGUCAUGGUCAUGGUCCUGGUCCUGGUCUUGGUCCUGGUCUUGUUCCUGGUCCUGGUCUUGGUCCUGGUCUGGUUUCCUGGUCUUGGUCAUGGUCCUGGUCCUGGUCCUGGUCCUGGUCAUGGUCCUGGUCAUGGUCCUGGUCCUGGUCCUGGUCUUGGUCUUGGUCUUGGUCAUGGUCAUGGUCAUGGUCAUGGUCAUGGUCAUGGUCCUGGUCCUGGUCCUGGUCCUGGUCUUGGUCUUGGUCCUGGUCUUUGUCCUGGUCCUGGUCCUGGUCGGACCGGUUGCUUGUGUUUUCCAGUAAACAUUCUGAUGCUAAUCAGUGUUUCUGUUUAGGCUCCGCCCCCUGGGUCACAUGUCUGAUGGUAAUCAGUGUUUCUGUUUAGGCUCCGCCCCCUGGGUCACAUGACUGAUAGACAGGUUCAGUUGAACGUGUCAAUCACAGACUGCAGUCCAGACCCAGACGCUGGAGCAGGUGAGUGAACCAAACUGAUGGGACGAGGACAAAUGUGCAGGUUUCCUUCAUGUCAUUGAACUGGUGAUAAAACACUGGUUUUAUUUGAACUCAAACAUUUCAUUUUUUUCUUUUAAAUCAGAUCAUUUCAUUGAAUGUGUUGAAGGAUGAUGGACAGAACAGCCAUGGCAUCUGAACUCAGAUUUCUAGUGUUUGGAAAGAGCCAGGAUGAUAACGUCGAACUCACCAACUUCAUCACGGGCCAAAAAGAAGCACCAUGUGGGAAACUGACCGUCAGCAAAGGACACUGGAUGAAGACACUGUUAACAGUCGUAGCCUACGAUAUCUUCAGCCCACAUGAGGAUGAAGUAAAACAGUGGAUAAAUGAAUGUGUUUAUCGAUGUUCACCAGGUCCGAACAUCCUGCUGCUGUUGGCGAACCCUUCAGACUUCACCAAAAACGACAGACAGAGGCUAAACCACAUCAUGAGUCUGUUUGGAGACGAUGCCUUCCAGUAUUUGAUGGUCGUCAUCACACAGAAUGAAACUGGAUGGAACCCUUCGCUCCAUAAACUCAAACAGGACUGCAGACCGAGGCUGCACAGGAUCAACCUUGAUGAAAAACAUCUUCCUGAGGAAGCUCGUCAAGAAAUAAUGGAAAAGGGAAAUAAUAUUCGGAGUCAAAACAAAGGCCGAUACCUGAAACUGACUGAAGCUCUGUAUUCUUUGGUGGAACCUAAACGUCCGAAGCCACCUCUGAACCUGGUUCUCUGUGGGAGGUUUGCAGACUGAAAGGCUUUAACUGCUAAUGCUAUUCUGGGACAAAGAAAGUUCGCUCCAAGUACAGAUUCGUCAGAGUGCGUCAAACGCCAGGCGGAGGUCUGUGGACGUCGGGUUUCUUUGGUGGAACUUCCUGUUCUCAGUG